GGGACGAGUUUUCCUCCUCGCCACCAAAACCUCGCAGCCAGCGUACCAACACUGCCCACCCCAUCCUCAGCUCCAUGCAGGUUCCACAUGCAGCCCCAGGCAGUCAAAUGCUGCAUUGAAGGGCCGAGUGAUGGAGAGGGGACCGCUCGCAGCCACCAUCAUCGCUUCAAACAAACAGGCUGAGAGCUUAAUGAUUUCAAGGCCCAGUGGGUGUCCUGUCUUCCUGGAAUUUGUUGGCUAUCUAAUGAGAAGCAGCCUGGUGAACGAUGUUAAUGGAUAAAGGCACCUCAUGUGGGGGGCCACACUGAGUGAUACGAAGCGGAGCCACCUGACAGCAGCCUGAUGGGAGUGAUAGUGCAGAGGGCAGGAAGCAACAUGAAGAGCCACCCCGGGACUUGCAGGGCUCUCCAAGCAGACGGAACAGAGGGAGAGGUGCACAAAGAGCCCGGUGUGCUGCCCCAAAGGCCCUUCUGUGUUCCUUGAAAACCUGUUAUGCUUCUUGUUGGGGCUGGGGAGGGGAAUCGGGGUCAGAGGUGCUCCUGGGGCGUGGGGUUGGGGAUGCUCCCUGGGGUCUGGGUGAGGAAAGGGGAAGGCACACAGACGGGGCGAGGAAAGAAGGGAAAGGGAAGGAGAGCGGCGUGCGUGCGUGUGACUGCGGGGAGAAACAGGAUUCAUGGUAAUUUCCUGCCAGAUGCCUGAACUCCUCCAGCAUGCAGACAUUUCACAUGUGAAAUAUCAAAGCGUUCCCAAUAACAAAUGUACUUCCUGCAGCUCCUCAGAUCUGCCUCCGUGCCAGCAAGGGAGCCGGGCAGGGAACGCCGCUGCAGUGCUGGGGGUGCCGGGCUCAGCAAAAGGCUAUC
ensembl:lncRNA